rnacentral:lncRNA from 1 species
AUCGCUUUCUUGAGAGGGUUUAAAGUGUUUCUAUUUCUCAUCUCUACUUAUUUUCUUCAAUUCACUCUAAAUGAUCUCAUCAUUCCAUUUUGAUUGAAUACUAAGGAUGAUUCUCUUUUGUAGAUAUCAUGUGCUUGCUCCCACUCAUGAAUGAACUCAUUGAAGUGAUGCUAGGCUGUGUGUGUAUAACCACUCUAUGUGCUUCCUCUUCACCCUACCUAUAUGUGUGUUCCAUCAACUCUCUUGCAGCCAAACACUUCAAGCCUUUUUCUUCUAUCACCCUCAUAAUUCCCCUACCUUUGUAUCUCAAUCUGAGAUAUUUAACCUAUUGUAAUCAUACCUAUAGCUUAGAAAUACACCAAGAUGUGCGAAGAUAAAGUUUGAAGGAAGGAAGUUGCUGCCAUGUACCUAAAUGAAAAUUGGUGUGAAUAUGUGUAAUGAUGUUAAAGAAGAAGCAGAUCAAAUCAGCAAAUAAGAAAGAUAAAAGAGAAAGUGUUUUGAUCUGAUCUAAGUGUGACGAGUAAGGUUGAUGCUAGGUGAUACAAUGAAGUUUGUAGCCUGCCAUUCAAAAUCAAUGAUACCUUGCAAAUCAAUGAAGAAUGCAACCUUGGUAUGUUCUUAAGUUACUAGUUUUCCUUCCAAUUCUUCCAUUUCCCUUAACCUUAGCCUCUCAUUACAACCUUGUGAAAGACCUAGCUAAUCUUUGAGGAUGUAUUAGUGGGUGCUAGUAUGUAUGUGUGUAUCUCUAUUCUUAGUAUUU